UCUGUAUCCAUAUUUGAGAAAGCAAAUGCUCACAUUGCCAUUCUUGAAAGCAUCUUUUCCCGAAGUGGUGACAUUCUCCCUCCUCCAAUACAUAGGCUGCGAGAAGGAGAAUUUGAGGUAAUAGAUGUCUGUGAAAGCUUAUGGAAACAAGGAAGCAGUAUUAAUUGUAUUCUUAGUUGCCUGUUUACAUCCAAGACAAAUAUUAGACAAUGAAAAGACUGCAGAUUUGGGAAUAUUUGAAGCAUGUUCUACCAUGAAGCAUCCAGGAAUAAGUCUUGGACAACCCAAUGACAUUUUUUGGUGGAUGGGUCUUCAGACAGCAGAUUCUGGCCAUUACAAAAAAGCCCCUGGGGGCUACAUGCAGUCUAUGGUCUCAGUUGUGU